UGUGGGAGGGGGCUUGCCCCCGAUAGCGGUGUGUCAGAGUGAACAUUUGUAACUGAACUACCGCCAUCGGGGGCAAGCCCCCUCCCACA
rnacentral:misc_RNA from 1 species